UGUAGGGUGCAUAAACACCCUGCCAUCCCGAGACAGUUCAUCCUUCUGGAGGCAGGAACAGGGGGCGGGUACAGCAGAGGGGCAAGGUGCUGGGAGCCACACCACAGAGUGUUUGUGACAGAAAUCAAUGGUGUUGGCUGCAGGGCGAGAACUGCAAGCGGAGCCCACGGAGAUGCAGUAACCGAGAACAUUCCUGAGGUUCUAAGGAGUCAGGAAAACAACUUGCAGAUCUGAAGAAGCUCAUGCAGAGAGCAGUGCCGUGUGAUGGACCAGGGCCAGAGCUAAAACCUUGUUCUCCGCAGGCAGGUGGACUCUGGCUAAGGGCAGCCCCGUGGGACCUUGCUGCCGCCCCGCGCUCCCCCAUCCCUCCGCCACCAGUGCUUCACACGCUGCUGGACCCCAUCCUCAGCCACCCUGGGUUGGGGGCAGUGACUGGGAUGAAGUGCUACCGCGACCCCUCUGCGCAGCCGCCCUUGGCGUUGAGUAACCCCUGAAGGAGCUCUUUCCUCGGCGUCUCCCUCCCCACCGUCGCUCCCUCCCCAUUUCACUGCCUCGGUGUUUCCCCAGCGGGUGACGGUGGGUGGUUACGUGCUCUGUGCCCGGGUCCCUCCGCCUGGAAUUCCGCCCCGGGGCUUGGGGCUUUGUCUGCUGACCCGCCUUCCAAAGUCUGCAGGAGAGUCGGAUCCUCCACCAUCCCUCCCCCCGCACUGGAGCCCCCCCGCCCGAAAACCUGGGGACACCAGGCCACCCUUCCCCAACAGAAGCUCCGGAGCUGGCCCUGGGCCGGCCACGCAGAGAUUCUUCCAGGUGAGGCGUGUGGUCUCAGCGUUGGGUUUGUUGAGGACAGAGCAGCCUCCCCAGAGGCCCUGGGAGAAGAAAUGAAGUCUUCCCGGCUCCUGCUGCCCAGACUCUGACCUGGCCUUCACCGACCCCUCACAAAGAAGUCCCCUCUCCCGGUUUUCUGCCCUCUCCCUGUGUGCCACCCCCUCCCCAGCCUCCACUCCCUCAGUUCACUCCUUGGUCUCACCUGCAAGACUCCACAGCCGCCUGAUGUGUACCUCCAUGGGUCCCCAGCUCACCUUCAUCCCCUGCUACCUGCCUCAUGUUACCCAACUGCAGGUCCCCAGACUCCCCUCACCUUUCCGGCUAACCCCCCAAAGCUCUGAGCCAAGGCCUAGAGAUACAGUCAGUGGUCCUUAUCCUCCAGGAGCUCCUGCCUGUCCCUCCUAUCCCCCUGCCCUGCCACCCAGCUACCUAAGGCACAGGUUCCCUGCUCAAACGCUUGUGACCCCUCACCUCCAAGUGCAGAAUCCAGGACCAUGAGGCAUCUUCUGCCUUUACCAUGCACAUGCAACACGCACACACCCCACUGUGAACUCCAGCCCAGAUUCCAAACAGCCCUGGCCCCAGCUUGGCCCAAGACUCCCCCCUGUUUGCCACCACUUUUCCUGGGGGUCUGCAGCAUGCUUCCCAGUUUGGGUCAAAGUCCCCUCCUUUGAGCCCCCUUGACCUUUAAGGCUCUGUCCGUGACCUCACAUAAUACUCUCAUCCCCCUCCUGCCCCAAGGAAAUACUUUCAUGUCAUAUUCUCAUCCCCCUCCUGCCCCAAGGAUAUACUCUCCUAAGUGGAUACAAAAAGUGUUUUGAAAUGAAUGAAUCAAUGUGGCAAAUCUAACAAUGAUAAUCAGCCGAGCAAAAUAAGAACUUGGAAGUGGUAA